rnacentral:rRNA from 1 species
UCCUACGGGAGGCAGCAGUGGGGAAUUUUGGACAAUGGGCGAAAGCCUGAUCCAGCCAUGCCGCGUGCAGGAUGAAGGCCUUCGGGUUGUAAACUGCUUUUGUACGGAACGAAAAGACUCUGGUUAAUACCUGGGGUCCAUGACGGUACCGUAAGAAUAAGCACCGGCUAACUACGUGCCAGCAGCCGCGGUAAUACGUAGGGUGCAAGCGUUAAUCGGAAUUACUGGGCGUAAAGCGUGCGCAGGCGGUUAUAUAAGACAGAUGUGAAAUCCCCGGGCUCAACCUGGGAACUGCAUUUGUGACUGUAUAGCUAGAGUACGGCAGAGGGGGAUGGAAUUCCGCGUGUAGCAGUGAAAUGCGUAGAUAUGCGGAGGAACACCGAUGGCGAAGGCAAUCCCCUGGGCCUGUACUGACGCUCAUGCACGAAAGCGUGGGGAGCAAACAGGAUUAGAUACCCUGGUAGUCCACGCCCUAAACGAUGUCAACUGGUUGUUGGGUCUUCACUGACUCAGUAACGAAGCUAACGCGGGAAGUUGACCGCCUGGGGAGUACGGCCGCAAGGUUGAAACUCAAAUGAAUUGACGGA